rfam:Fungal sp. No.14919 DNA, contig: Contig0054.
GGCCAGGUGGCGGAGUGGUUAACGCGGUAGACUCGAAUUAUUCGGUGUAAUCUACUUCCUUCGGGAGCGUCUGUUCGAAUCAGGCCCUGGUCG